rnacentral:rRNA from 1 species
AUUCCAGCUCCAAUGGCGUAUAUUAAAGUUGUUGCAGUUAAAAAGCUCGUAGUUGGAUUUCUGGCAGGAGCGACCGGUCGGCCCAUUGUGGUGUGUACUAGUGUUGCAUCUGGCCAUAUUUGUGGAGAGCGUGUGUGGCAUUAAUUUGUCGUGCUCGGGACCCGCAUCGUUUACUGUGAGAAAAUUAGAGUGUUCAAAGCAGGCUUAUGCCUUGGAUAUGUUAGCAUGGAAUAAUAAGAUAAGACUUUGGCGGUCUAUUUUGUUGGUUUGCACGCCAUUGUAAUGAUUGAUAGGGACAGUUGGGGGUAUUCAUAUUUAAUUGUCAGAGGUGAAAUUCUUGGAUUUAUGAAAGAUGAACUACUGCGAAAGCAUUUACCAGGGAUGUUUUCAUCG